rnacentral:tRNA from 1 species
ACUUCCAAAGGACAGAAGU